UACGUAGGGACCAAGCGUUGUUCGGAUUUACUGGGCGUAAAGGGCGCGUAGGCGGCAUGACAAGUCACUUGUGAAAUCUCCGGGCUUAACUCGGAACGGCCAAGUGAAACUGUCAAGCUAGAGUGCGGAAGGGGCAAUCGGAAUUCUUGGUGUAGCGGUGAAAUGCGUAGAUAUCAAGAGGAACACCUGAGGUGAAGACGGGUUGCUGGGCCGACAUUGACGCUGAUGCGCGAAAGCCAGGGGAGCAAACGGG
rnacentral:rRNA from 1 species